rnacentral:piRNA from 1 species
AGACCAAGUAUACAAAUAGCGGAGCCC